CCCAGUAAACGGCGGCCGUAACUAUAACGGUCCUAAGGUAGCGAAAUUCCUUGUCGGGUAAGUUCCGACCUGCACGAAUGGCAUAACGAUGGCCACACUGUCUCCUCCCGAGACUCAGUGAAGUUGAAAUGUUUGUGAUGAUGCAAUCUCCCCGCGGCUAGACGGAAAGACCCCAUGAACCUUUACUGUAGCUUUGCAUUGGACUUUGAACCGAUUUGUGUAGGAUAGGCGGGAGGCAGAGAAAGCGCAACGCCAGUUGUGCCGGAGCCGACGUUGAAAUACCGCCCUGAUUUGUUUGAGGUUCUAACCGCGACCCGUGAGCCGGGUCCGGGACCGUGCAUGGCAGGCAGUUUGACUGGGGCGGUCUCCUCCUAAAGGGUAACGGAGGAGUACAAAGGUACGCUAGGUACGGUCGGAAAUCGUGCUGAUAGUGCAAAGGCAAAAGCGUGCUUGACUGCGAGACCGACAAGUCGAGCAGAUGCGAAAGCAGGUCUUAGUGAUCCGGUGGCUCUGUAUGGAAGGGCCAUCGCUCAACGGAUAAAAGGUACUCUGGGGAUAACAGGCUGAUACCGCCCAAGAGUUCAUAUCGACGGCGGUGUUUGGCACCUCGAUGUCGGCUCAUCUCAUCCUGGGGCUGUAGUCGGUCCCAAGGGUAUGGCUGUUCGCCAUUUAAAGAGGUACGUGAGCUGGGUUUAAAACGUCGUGAGACAGUUUGGUCCCUAUCUGCCGUGGGCGUUGGAAGAUUGACGGGGGCUGCUCCUAGUACGAGAGGACCGGAGUGGACGCACCUCUGGUGUACCGGUUGUCACGCCAGUGGCAUUGCCGGGUAGCUAAGUGCGGAAGAGAUAACCGCUGAAAGCAUCUAAGCGGGAAACUUGCCUGAAGAUAAGUCUUCCCGGAGGCUAGACCUCCCUGAAGAGUCGUUCGAGACCAGGACGUUGAUAGGUCGGGUGUGUAAGCGUUGUGAGACGUUUAGCUAACCGAUACUAAUUGCUCGUGAGGCUUGAUCCU
rnacentral:rRNA from 1 species